AGUUUAACAUGAUGGCCUGUAGGACAGGACUGCUGCUUUUAACUCUCUGCUGUGCAGGUGUUUGCGGUCAGACACUAACUGAGUCUGAACCAGUGGUAAAGCGCUCUGGAGAAUCCCACAAACUGACCUGUACAUAUGCAGGAAUAGCAGAUGGUGACGCUGCUAUCGCUUGGAUCAGACAAGCUGAAGGAAAAGGACUGGAGUGGGUUGCCUACAUUUCUGCUCCAAGUGGAAGCGCUAAAGCUUAUUCAACCACAGUCCAGAAUCGCUUCACCAUAUCCAGAGACAACAACGUGGACCAGGUGUAUCUGCAGAUGAACAGUCUGACGACUGAAAAUUCUGCUGUUUAUUAUUGUGCUCGAAAGCCACAGUGACACAGGAAGCUACAGAGCUGUACACAAACCACUGCGGAUGUCAGUGUGGCUGUCACUGACAGAAAGUGCAAGUUUGAAUA